UGCAGUCGAGCGAUGGAUUGAGAGCUUGCUCUCAAGAAGUUAGCGGCGGACGGGUGAGUAACACGUGGGUAACCUGCCCAUAAGACUGGGAUAACUCCGGGAAACCGGGGCUAAUACCGGAUAACAUUUUGAACUGCAUGGUUCGAAAUUGAAAGGCGGCUUCGGCUGUCACUUAUGGAUGGACCCGCGUCGCAUUAGCUAGUUGGUGAGGUAACGGCUCACCAAGGCAACGAUGCGUAGCCGACCUGAGAGGGUGAUCGGCCACACUGGGACUGAGACACGGCCCAGACUCCUACGGGAGGCAGCAGUAGGGAAUCUUCCGCAAUGGACGAAAGUCUGACGGAGCAACGCCGCGUGAGUGAUGAAGGCUUUCGGGUCGUAAAACUCUGUUGUUAGGGAAGAACAAGUGCUAGUUGAAUAAGCUGGCACCUUGACGGUACCUAACCAGAAAGCCACGGCUAACUACGUGCCAGCAGCCGCGGUAAUACGUAGGUGGCAAGCGUUAUCCGGAAUUAUUGGGCGUAAAGCGCGCGCAGGUGGUUUCUUAAGUCUGAUGUGAAAGCCCACGGCUCAACCGUGGAGGGUCAUUGGAAACUGGGAGACUUGAGUGCAGAAGAGGAAAGUGGAAUUCCAUGUGUAGCGUAAA
rnacentral:rRNA from 1 species